GGCUGGAGGAAUCGGACGCCCAAGUCCUGCAAGUCUUCUGGGGGCUUCACCCUCUGGGGGUUUGCAAAGAACACGUACUUCUGCAGCUAGACUAACUUGGUCAACCAGAGAGGAUGUCAAGCAGAUUUGAUGGUGAACAGCAUGGCUAUAUUAUAUCACCUAGACCAGAACAAACCAACUUGGACCAGUAUUAAAAUUUGUGCCAGUCCAAGCUGUUUUUCCAGCAGGAAGUAGUACAGGAUGCAGCCCAUGUGUGAGCCAUCAAAGACCCUGUGGUGACACCCAGAGCCUGGGACGAGGUGCUGUGACUGGGGACAGAGUAGUGCAUUUGAGGCUGAAGGAUUCUGGAGGCCAGGAGGUCAAACACAACUUCUUUGAGAAAGUUUCAGUUUCCCAUAACUAAGCUGAGAAUCGGCGGUUUCCACACGUAUGUGGUGUGCGUCAUCAAAUGACACAUUAAACAUAGAGACAAUGGAGUUAUUCCUAUUUCCCCUUUAAUCUGUGAUAAUUUCACUACAAUUAGCCUAUCUAAAAAGUAUGUAACCUAUCACAAUGUUCAAUUUGUGAUAUUUGUGUUGUAAGAGUAGGCCUAUGUCAUCUAUUACAAAUGUAUUUUAGUUGACCAUCUUGGACCAUGCAUCAAUAGACCAGCUUGGACCCACUAGCUAAUUACCAGUUUGGAAAAAACUGAGAAGCAGCAUGGAUCAGCUAAUGACCAGAUUAAACCAGCUUUAACCAGCUAAUGACCAGAUUUAACCAACUAAUGACCAGCUUGGACAAGCUGAGGACCAGCUUGGAGCAGCUAAUAACCAGUGUGGACCAGCUAAUAAAGCUUUAACCAAGUAAUAAUAACUAACUUGAACUUGAUAAUGAAGAGUUUCAAUCAACAAGAAACUGGCUUCAGUGUUCCAAAACAGCCAGCAUAAGAUGGAUUUUCCAAUUGACAUUUAAAAAAAUUGUUUCUGGGGAGAACCCAACAGCACAUGGAGAAUCAUAACCUUGCUGCUGACGUUAAUUCUGGACUGGGACAUUGGGAGACCUUUAUGAGAGGGACAUCCACAGGAAAUUAAGCUAAUCUUUUAUGUCUUAACUAAAUAAAUGGAAAAUGAUGAUGUCUUUCCUUGAGUUGCUUGUGAAAGUGAGGGAUUACUUCAGCUCUGUAACGCUUGAGCUGACUCAGUGUUGUCACUUGGCUCAGUGUGCUGGGUUCCUUGAAGUGUCUAGAAAAGGACAGGAAGUCUUUUGCACGUCCCGAGCAUCAUGCAAAUUUAUUAACUCAAUAAUCAACAUAAAUGCAGAGAGACAGAUGAA